GAAGGGCAGCACCCUGAAUCACUAAGAUUCCUUCAAGGCCAGCAGCCUUGGGACUUCAGUUCACUAAGAACUCUUCAAGGCCAGCAGCCUUGGAACUCCUCUAGUUCCCUAGGAACUCUUCAAGCCCAGCAGGCUUGGAACUUCGUUUAGUCUCUCCGGACAAGGACCCCUCAGGCCCUGGCUUCAUUUAGUCCCUUCGGACAAGGACCCCUCAGGCUCUGGCUUCUGUUGAGUUGUUUGUUUGUUGGAGUUGGUGCUGAGCUGCUAAGAUGUCUUCAUGCUCUGAACAUCUUCUAUACUUCGCAACUUGACGUGAUCAUCCUUGAAGUGAAGUUGAGUGUUGCAUAAUGCUCAGCUUCUUCAGUUACUCAGCCACUUCGGAUGAUCCCUUGAUGACUGCCUUGAAGAUCUUUCCUCUUGAUACAUGAUGGCUGCACAUGAUAGGUUUCCAAGAUGACUGUAAGUUCUUCUGCUAGGUACUUAGAAACUUUCUCAUACUUGCCACCAUGAUGACGUUUGCGAUCUCCCUUCUUGAUACUUGAUGUCUUCUCAUGAUGGACUUGCUAAGAUGACUGUGAGCUCUUCUCUAUUGUACUUAGAGUCUUCCCAUGAUGGACACCAAGAUGACAUGAUGCUCUUCUUUCUCUCGGCAGUUUAGAACACUCUUCUUGUAGUAGAAUUCUCACUUCUACAUAGUAGAACUCUCACUUCCACUUCUUCCUUUGCAUGUAUCUGAGUGUUCUUGGUGGAUCGUAGAGUGAGCCAUCGGACUCACUAUUUCACAUGGUUUAUAAUAGCCUACCGUUACUCCAAACUCAGAAACUCCAGCAACCUUUUAUCUUUGAAGCUCUUCCUGAUUUAUACUCCUUCACAAUCCUUCCGUUGGAAAGUAGCCGUUGAAGGCUAUUCAAAUAUCUUCACAGAUCUCGAGUUGACAGAGGUAAACUGAUGAUGUGACAUGUCAUACUUUAUCUGACAUUGCAGUCUACUGUUUCACCUAUCCCAUUAGAGUUGUCACUUUAAUGUCUUGGGCAGGUCGAAGACUUUAUUUCCUCCUUCUGAUUUCUCGAUCAGAGGUUGUCCUUUUGCAUCGAUGCUCUCAAUAAGAUUUUGUCCAAAUACCAUCCUUCAGUUUGAACCGUUGCCAAUGCUUCAAUCUUCGGGUGUUCAAACUCUACGAUUCUGAUGCUUGUAUUCUUGGACCUAAUCGUAGUGUCUUGUUGAGUGUUGCUCAUUGACUGGUAGAGUUAACACUACGAUCUUGAAGAGUGUUGAUUGGAUCUCCAAUGUAGUACACCUCUUCCUUCCAUUGUGCAGUGCUUCAACACUUGUGUUUGCUUCGACUGUUCUUAGAGACUGAUGGCCUAACUCCUUGCUCUGGUCCCCUCCGAAUAGCAAGACACUUCAGAUUUGUGGCGUGUCCAGCUCGCUUUCUCCUUGUGAUCUCUCGUUCACUUAUCAUCAAUGGACUGACCCUACGCUUAAUCACUUUAUGUGACGCCCCCAAAAUUAGGUAUACAUCACCCAUCUUGAGUCGCCAAAUACAUGGUACAGAAUUCAAAUAAAACUUAAUAAUACAACUGUCGUGUACAAUACGACAAAACAUAAACUGUGAGUUUGAAUACAAAUAUUGUCUACUAGAGAUUAUACAAACUCAAAAGGAG
rnacentral:lncRNA from 1 species